rnacentral:lncRNA from 1 species
AAAACGUAUUUUGAUUUAACCCGGACGCUUUUACGUUUUCAAAAGAAGAAAACGUACUCUUGCCAGGCUCUUUAGAAAGAUUUACCCCGAAGGGGUAUGUUCUAUUCCUGGGCGUUGAUUUUGAAUCUGACGGCGCAGAAUCGAUCGAGGGAGAGAGAGGAGGGGGGUGGCCGGCCGGAACAGGAGUACUGGCGGCGGCGCCAUGGCCAGCCCGGCCGAACCUCGCCGGAGACGGCGGCUACGGCGCUACGGAGCACCAUUUUCCAAAUCGCGAGCACUAGGGAAAAGAGGAGCACGAGGCGAGUUCAUUCCCGAACUCAGCAAGGCCGGGGAAAUGACCGACACGACGGACCACGGUGGCGCCAUGGCCGACGCCCACGGUGCACGCGAACAAGGCCCUAGAGGCCACGAAAUGGCGCAAGAGAAGCACAGAGAGAAAGAGGGGGAGAAGGAGAUGCUCACCACGGUGAAAACAGAGACAAAGGCGGCUUAAAUCGCAGGGGCGACGCGAAGCCGGCGAAUUUCUCCGGCGACGGUUCUCCCUGCGCGCUCGCGGUUGAGAGUAGAGGCGAGGAGAGGGGAAAUGGGGAGGGGAAGGAGGCGCGUGGCUCUACCCACCUCUUAUAGGAGCGCGAGGGGGAGAAGAGGGGAUCGUGGGCGCGGUGAGGGGGGGGGGACGGCUCGGCGGUUGAAAGCAGAGAGAAGAGAGGGGAGAGAGCGGGCGGCAGUUGGAGAAGAGGAAGCUGACAGGCGGGCCCGGCCUGUCAGCGGGUGAGGAGAGGGGAAGGCGGAAAGUGGCCGGCUGGGUCGCAGCCCAGGAAAGAGAAAGGGGGCGCGGGGGGGGGAGACUGGGCCGAGCAGGCCGAGAGCAGAAAGGGGAGAAAAAAGACAAAAAAAUAAAAUAAAUAAAUAAAUCCAUUUUCUUUUUCAAAUACAUUUUCCAAAUGCAUUUUUCCAAUUGAAUUGAGCACAUUGACAUUUUGUUUUUAAAACAAUCAUCACCAUAAAAAAUGCAGCAACAUGUAUGCAUCAAAAAAAAUUCUAAACUUAUAUUAAUUAUUAUUAUUAUUUUUCUAAUUCUCCAAAUUUAUUUAUUUUUCCUAUAUUUUGAUGCACACAAAAUUGACUAUAAAAUCAAAUUCAACUAUUUAAAAACAAGCUAAUUUUAGGGUGUUACAAUUCUACCCCCCUUAAAAUGAAUCUCGUCCUCGAGAUUCGGAGGAGGCUCAGAUCCUUUGAGAGAAACAUGAAAAUAUCUUGAUACCCCUUUCAACUUCACAACUUGCAUACCAAAUGUAAACACUUAUACCUCAAGGUCACACCUCGUGAACAUAAUUUCCAUUGAAUAACUAUUAUUCAUAAGUGACCAAAGUCCAUCUUGACUACUAAUUUCUUUUAGCUUACAACUCCAAGAGACACGGAAACUUAAUAUGCAUUUGCCUCGUCAGGUAGGAGUGGACCACCGUGAUACUCCAUUCUUUUUCCUGACAGUGCUGUUAAGAGCAUUUUGUACUGGGUACCAUAGAUCACUCCUUUGUGUGCACACAACCAUCCAUUACCAAGGACCAAGGGAAUACCAAGCGACUCUAGCACAAUGAGGGUUACAGUGAAGUUUUCCUUGUCUAUGAUCAUAUUGAUAUUUGAGCACACCUGAUCUGCUUGUAUUUCUCCCAUUGGGGUAUGCACUAACAAAGGCUUCCUCGUUGGGCACUUCAUCCUCUCGAUUGUCUUUAUGAGGUCGGUGGAAAUGAAAGAAUGUGAAGCACUCGGGUCAAACAGAGCAAAAACUAGCACUGAGUCUACUUGAAUAUAGCCACCAACCACUUCGGUAGCUCCAUGAAUGUUAUGCCUAUCCACAUUGCUCAGUCUUCCAUUGAUAUAGUCUCGUUGCACCUUACUUCCAUGAGCAGACUUCUUACGGCUUUUCCUUUUUCUCUUUCACCGUUGUGGAUUCUGAUUUGUUUCACUUCCAACUUUCUCUUCAGUACCAUUAUUUUGAUAGUACUCAGUUUCAUCAUACUCAUAACAUCCAUCAAGGGUAGGAUCAUCAUCCUCUUCCCACGUAUCAGUAAGAGGCAUCAUAUAGGGCUCCUGAUCCACGGGAUACUACACUCCCUGUCAUCAAGUGACCCACGUCAAUGACACGAGAAGGAGAGAUGAUCAUAUUCAUAGAAUAUCUCACGAGACAACUCUCACUUCAAGAUAAGUUGAAAAUGCAUCAACCCGUGAUAUCAAGGUUCUAACCCCCUUAAGAAAGGUCGACUAGGAGGCACAAGGAAGGUAGCUUGCAUUUUUUUUGACAAGUUAUCUUGCAUUGAGACCUUUUUGACAUCACUAGGAACUUAUGUGCAAGGAUGAAACAUACAUCCUAAAAUUUCCUCACGAUAUGAAAAUUACUAGUGCAGUAAAAUAGACAUAACUCUUGUUCUGUUAACCCAAUAGGGCCAUAGCUUAUACCGUUAGAAAGCUUAGAAAAUUUUCUACAAACUUUCUGUAGAACACUUUUCCAAAUUCUAUAGUUAUAUUUGUCCAAAACAGCAGGCAACCAAAACUGGUCCAGAUUCUUGACAGCACAUCUGUAUCGUCUUGUGAUUUUUGUAACUUCCAAACCGUAAUAGCUAUGGGGGUGAUUCUUGAGGUUAGAGAAAAAUCCAGAAGUGUAUUAUCAUCCAGCAUUUUCUCAUGAUUUGUGGUCAUCCCGGAUCAAAGAUAUGAACUGAUAAAGAAGUGAUACUCCGGAAAGGCAGGAUAAGAUAACAAGAGAAAAAUCAAAACCCAACUAUUUAUGUCAUUAAUCCUUAUGCCUUAGACAUAUAAACUAGAUGAAAUUGUGAAGAAACCCACAAGAUCAUUACACUCAUUACAAAGAUCCAAAUCAAACAUAAUCAUAAAGACAAUUCAACCAAGCAGUAAAGGUUCACAAGGCACACAAACUCGACUUUCGCUGCUAGCGUUUUUAUUACACAAGGGCACAAACUCCUAUAUCUUAAACUCAGUGUGGCUUCUUUCAUGAUACUACUGUUGGUUCUUCUGUGGACAAGACUUUACAUAGUGUCCUUCCUAUCGGCAGUGAUAACACUUUCUUUUAGCUGGAUCCCUUGUGAUAUCAUUUUCCACUGAGGUGUUGCUCGGUGUGUUAUCAGCUCGCUGACACUGAAGGUUUGUCUCUGGCUGGCUAGCUUUCUUCCUAACUUGGUUGAUCCUUCUAGGUUGAAACUCUUUAUAAGUGAUGGUCCAUCCAUCUAUGCAUACCUCAUGAGCAGUGGGGUUAGCUUGCGAAGUUUCUUCAUCUCCAAGGUUUGGAUUUUCAUGGCCAGAGUUCAAAGCUAAAUGUGACAACUUAGGAUUUGAAUGUUGUUCAUUCCCCAAUGCUGGCUCUAGUGAUUUUUCCUUAUUCUUCUUAUCCUCAUUAGUCCCAGAAUUUGGUUUUACCUUAGCUUCCUUUUUAAAUGACCUAUUCCGACGACAAGGAAGACCAUAAUACCUACAGCAAUGGCAUUGGUCCUGAUAUCCCGAUGUAUUUCUACCAACAGCUCCAUGAGUUCUCACAUUUUUCCAAGCUUCUGCUACUUGUCACUUCACUGGUCCUGAGAUGCACUGCUGAGAGUUCCCAUUCUGAUUCAUUCCUUCCACUACUUCCUUUUGCAUAGAUAGAAGCUUCUCCUUGUCAAAUGCUUUUACGGGUGGCAUCUCUGAGUCCUUUUGUUCAUUCAUGCCAUAGGUCUCCUCGUUAUGAGCCAUCUAAAUAGACAAGGUGGAUGGAUUUAGAAUAGAGACAAAGUUUUUAUAAUAGAAUAGGGCAGAGGUAAGCAUAAUUUUUAGCAAUUAUCAAGGUUAAGGUGAAAGCAAGAAGUAAGGAGAGAUAGAAGCAUGCUAAAACGUCCGGUUCUAACUAGGGUUGCGUCCUACAGUCAGCAUUGCUUUGAUACCACUUUGUAACACCUGAUUUUAAGAACAAAAUCAGAUAUGCACAAUAUGUGAGUUUUAGAAGACAAACCUCACAUAUAGCUACAAAUAAGGGGUAAUAUCAAAGGAUAAUGCAUAAAUUAUAUAGCAUAGAUAAUAAAUUAGAAACAACCUUGGGCAGCAAACACGGAAGAGAACUCCAAACUAUGGGUGUUAACCUCACUCUAUAGAAUCCAACUGACUAGUUGAUCACAAGCCCAAAACUUCUCCUAAGGUGUGGGGGAGAUAGCAAGAGUGAGUUCAAGACGAACUCCGCAAGUAUAACAACUAUAUUGUAUAGAUCCCACAAUCUCAUGAUCAAUGUGACAUAAAUAAUAUAGAGCAUUAAACAAUAAUCAUGAGCAUAUUUACACAACAAGAUUCAUCACCCUUAAUGUAAGAAUCCCUAGGGCCGCUCGUGACCGUGAGCACGGCUAGUAUACAAGUUUUUAACACUCUGCAGAGGUUGUACAUCUUUACCCAUGAGUCAUGAUUUACCCUUUCGCCCGAGGUGAUCAGCCUCGUAACCCACUACUAAGGUUGGUCGGCAGGGAUCACUAUGAAGUCUUUCAAAGGUUCGUCUAACAAGUUAGGGCCACUUGGUUUCGGUAGUCAGUCCAUGUGAUUCUACCCCGCAGGGGAUCCACGGUCUGCUAUCCCCCAUUUGCGCCACACGGGUAACCUCUAACAAGCUAGAAAAGUUACUCAUAUUUGACUAAAGCCAGAGCCAUUAUAGCCCUCAUGGUUGCACUUUCAUCCCGGUUAUCACUUACGAAUAAAUCCUCAAGUUGUUAAAAAGUCAUUAUUAUCAUUUGUUGCUUUAUAUCAAUCUGUCACAAGAUCAUGGUCAUAGAAUUAAAACCCAAAUGCUAUACUUGCCUUGAUCCAAUUGCUCCUGCUGGUCCUGCUGAUUUUACUUGCUUCCACGGCUCUGAUCUUGACCACCGAAGUAAUGCCCACUGACUAAACUCAGUCACCAAUCAUCAACACACAAGCAAUCGGGGACAGACAUAUACGAAGCAAACAAGAUUACAAUUAGAACAGUACACCAGCAGUAAAUAAAUGUAAAUAAAAGUUUUCCAAAAUCAUCUACACGCUGCUACGAUCACGUCAACGGGAAAUUCACGGAAAACGAAGUUACGACGCGAAAUCUACGCAUUAAACGGGACUACAAAGGCUAUCUAUGGACUUGUAUUUAUCUAGGAAACCUAACCGUGGUGAACUAGACAACAAUGGUACCAACGCGAAGUUUAUGAAAUUAUGAAACUAACGCAACUUGAACGGAUCGAAUCGUAGCUAAAACAGAGAAGAUACGAAUUUUCUAAGGUUUUAUAUAGAAAAGUAUUUAAUUAAAUAGGGUCACAAAAUUAAAAAGUUCAAAUUGGUGAAACAAUUAGACUAACAUGUAAAGCUCGUGAUUACGAAUCUAACGCAAUUUGAACGGGUCAAAUCGGAGUUAAAACGAGCAUUUUAUGACUAAAACAAAAUCAGUGGCAAACUUGUAAAUACUGAAAACGUAUUUUGAUUUAACCUGGAAGCUUUUACGUUUUCAAAAGAAGAAAAUGUACUCCUGCAAGGCGCUUUGGACCGCGGGUUCUAAUCUCAGAAAACCGAGGGGCUCUUUAGAAAGAUUUACCCCGAAGGGGUAUGUACUAUUCCUGGGCGUUGAUUUUGAAUCUGACGGCGCAGAAUCGAUCGAGGGAGAGAGAGGAGGGGGGUGGCCGGCCGGAACAGGAGUACUGGCGGCGGCGCCAUGGCCAGCCCGGCCGAACCUUGCCGGAGACGGCGGCUACGGCACUACGGAGCACCAUUUUCCAAAUCGCGAGCACUCGGGAAAAGAGGAGCACGAGGCGAGUUCAUUCCCGAACUCAGCAAGGCUGGGGAAAUGACCGACACGACGGACCACGGCGGCGCCAUGGCCGACGCCCACGGUGCACGCGAACAAGGCCCUAGAGGCCACGAAACGGCGCAAGAGAAGCACAGAGAGAAAGAGGGGGAGAAGGAGAUGCUCACCACGGUGAAAAUGGAGACUAAGGCGGCUCAAAUCGCAGGGGCGACGCGCGGCGGGCGAAUUUCUCCGGCGACGGUUGUCCCUGCGCGCUCGCGGUUGAGAGUAGAGGCG